rnacentral:rRNA from 1 species
UACGUAGGGGGCAAGCGUUGUCCGGAUUUAUUGGGCGUAAAGAGCGUGUAGGCGGCCAUACAGGUCCGUUGUGAAAACUCGAGGCUCAACCUCGAGACGUCGAUGGAAACCGUAUGGCUAGAGUCCGGAAGAGGAGAGUGGAAUUCCUGGUGUAGCGGUGAAAUGCGCAGAUAUCAGGAAGAACACCCGUGGCGAAGGCGGCUCUCUGGGACGGUACUGACGCUGAGGCGCGAAAGCGUGGGGAGCAAACAGG